ACAGCCCUGUAAUCGAAAAAGAAUUUCCUCCGGAGUGGAUCCUGAGUACGGCGGAACACGUGGAAUUCCGUCGGAAUCCGGGAGGACCAUCUCCCAAGGCUAAAUACUCCCUAGUGACCGAUAGUGAACCAGUACCGUGAGGGAAAGGUGAAAAGCACCCCGGGAGGGGAGUGAAAGAGUACCUGAAACCGUGUGCCUACAAGUAGUCGAAGCGCGUUCAUGCGUGACGGCGUACCUUUUGUAGAAUGGACCGGCGAGUUACGAUUGUAUGCAAGGUUAAGUGGAAGACACGGAGCCGUAGCGAAAGCGAGUCUGAAUAGGGCGAUUUAGUAUGCGGUCGUAGACCCGAAACCGUGUGAUCUACCCAUGUCCAGGGUGAAGGUCAGGUAACACUGACUGGAGGCCCGAACCCACGUAUGUUGAAAAAUGCGGGGAUGAGGUGUGGGUAGGGGUGAAAUGCCAAUCGAACACGGAGAUAGCUGGUUCUCUCCGAAAUAGCUUUA
rnacentral:rRNA from 1 species